GAUGAAGAACGUAGUGAAAUGCGAUACUUGGUGUGAAUUGCAGAAUCCCGUGAACCAUCGAGUCUUUGAACGCAAGUUGCGCCUCAAGCCAUUAGGUUGAGGGCACGUCUGCCUGGGCGUCACAUAUCGUUGCCUGAUGCCAGUUUCCUCGUGAUGGGUGACUGUGCAGGGCGAAUGAUGGCUUCCCGUGAGCAUUGUUGCCUCAUGGUUGGUUGAAAAUUGAGUCCUUGGUAGGGAGCGCCGUGAUAGAUGGUGGUUGAGUGACGAACGAGACCCAAUCAUGUGAGACCCCUACCGAAUUUGGCCUUCAUGACCCACAUGCGUCUUUGGAACGCUCAUGACGAGACCUCAGGUCAGGUGGGGCUACCCGCUGAGUUUAAGCAUAUCAAUAAGCGGAGGA
rnacentral:misc_RNA from 1 species